CACCAGCGCUGACUACCUAAAUAGCUCAUAAACGACGGUGAAUGGAGUCAAACGCCACAGGUGUCCAGUGUUAACUGUCGACUCCAGGAACCGGCUGCCAACACAGCCAUUACCAAGCAAUGGAAAAGAGUGUUUUGGCCCGGUACACCUCUAUUUUACUUGGAAUGCCUGACCUCGCCUUUCCUGCCUCAGGUUUUGUUGACCCAACAAAACAAAUUUCCCUCUUUGCAUGGCCGACAGGCUGCUCCUUCCUGGCAAUAGAGGGACUGGAGAAUUACCACGGAGAGGAGGGAAAGGGACAGCCAAUGUGGAGUGUUGGCAGAAACUUGCGGUGACAGCAAAGCUGACUGACUGGUCUCCAAAUUUUACACUCUAAAGUGGAAACAAGAUCUUUUAUCAUAUCUUUGUCCCAACUUUUUUUUUAAAAAGCAACACACCUUAAUGUGCCGUGAACCACACCUGUCACACAUUCACAAACAAUCAGGUGGAACUCAUCAAACUUAGCAUUUUUUCAUACAGUGCAAUUUGAAAAGAGAAAGAUUAGAGAGUGGGCCAUGAAUAAAAUAACAUAGUGAAAGCUGA